rnacentral:rRNA from 1 species
GAUUACCCGCUGAACUUAAGCAUAUCACUAAGACGGAGGAAAAGAAACUAACCAGGAUUCCCCUAGUAACGGCGAGUGAAGAGGGAAUAGCCCAGCACCGAAGCCUGCGGUAGGUUUACUGCUAGGCAAUGUGGUGUUUGGGUCGACUCGCGGGAUUGCCACUCCACUCGAAGUCCAGCACUGAGUAUGGUUCCCUGGAUUUGGCCCAGAGAGGGUGAAAGGCCCGUGCGAGUGGAGGUUCAGACAUGUGAGGCAAUUCACCAGGUCGACCUUCGAGUCGGGGUGUUUGGAAUGCAGC